UUCCAGACUCCUACGGGAGGCAGCAGUGAGGAAUAUUGGUCAAUGGGCGAGAGCCUGAACCAGCCAAGUCGCGUGAAGGAUGACGGCCCUACGGGUUGUAAACUUCUUUUGUCAGGGAGCAAUUGAGUCCACGUGUGGGCUUAGCGAGAGUACCUGAAGAAAAAGCAUCGGCUAACUCCGUGCCAGCAGCCGCGGUAAUACGGAGGGGGCAAGCGUUAUCCGGAUUUACUGGGUGUAAAGGGAGCGCAGACGGCAGUGCAAGUCUGGAGUGAAAGCCCGGGGCCCAACCCCGGAACUGCUCUGGAAACUGUGCGGCUAGAGUACUGGAGGGGCAGGCGGAAUUCCUAGUGUAGCGGUGAAAUGCGUAGAUAUUAGGAGGAACACCAGUGGCGAAGGCGGCCUGCUGGACAGUAACUGACGUUGAGGCUCGAAAGCGUGGGGAGCAAACAGGAUUAGAUACCCCAGUAAA
rnacentral:rRNA from 1 species